rnacentral:rRNA from 1 species
AACGAACGCUGGCGGCAUGCUUAACACAUGCAAGUCGAACGAAACCUUCUGAGCUAGUUGCGCACGUGUGCGUACCGCGGGGUAAGCUGCCUUUAGGUUCUGAAUCUCUCAGUGUAGUUUGAGCUAAUACCGGUUGAUGUCUUCGGACAAAAGAUUUAUCGCCUUUAGGUGGGCCCGCGUUGUUUUAGCGUGCUGGUUGGGUAAAGGCCCACCAAGGCGAGGAGCCGUAGCUGGUCUGAGAGGAUGAUCAGCCACACUGGGACUCAGACACGGCCCAGACGGGUAGCGGCGGCAGCGGUUGGGAAUAAAUGGCCAUGGGCGAGAGGCUGAUACAGCGAUGCCGCGUGAGUGACGAACGGGUUAUGGUCGUCAAGCUAUUUUAACCGAGCUGAUAAUGACAGUAUCGGGAGAAGAAGCACCGGCUAACUACGUG